rnacentral:rRNA from 1 species
GGCUAGUAUGAUGGUUUGACAAGAAUGUGACUGUCUCCUUAUAAUUUAAUAGAACUUUAUUUAUAGGCGAAGAAGCCUAUUUAAAAUUAAAAGACGAGAAGACCCUAUCGAGCUUUAAAGAAAUAAGUAGACUUAAUUCCUAUUACCUAAAAAGAUAAACUACUAUAAAUUUUAGUUGGGGUGAUCGAGGAAUAUAAAAAGCUUCCUUUAUAUUCUAUAAAACCGGCAAGUAUUGAUCCAAAAUAUUUUGAUCAAAGAAAUUAGUUACCGUAGGGAUAACAGCAUUAUCUUUUUUGAGAGCUCCUAUCGAAAAAAAGGUUUGUGACCUCGAUGUUGGACCAGAAUAUCCUAAAGAUGCAACCGUCUUUAAGGGUUGGUCUGUUCGACCAUUAAAAUUCUACGUGAUCUGAG